UGUCACUUCUGCUGGACUACCAUAGCAUUUAGGGGGUUUUAACCCCCCCCCUCCCCCCCCGGCCUGUCCAUUAGGAUGCCAAAGGUAUUUGUUAUGUGAAAGGUUGCCAUAAAGAGAAUUCCUCCCCCCGUCCAUUAGGAUGCCAAAGGUAUUUGUUAUGUGAAAGGUUGCCAUAAAGAGAAUUCCUCCCCCCGUCCAUUAGGAUGCCAAAGGUAUUUGUUACCUGAAAGUUUGCCAUAAAGAGAAUUCCUCCCCCGUCCAUUAGGAUGCCAAAGGUAUUUGUUACGUGAAAGGUUGCCAUAAAGAGAAUUCCUCCCCCCGUCCAUUAGGAUGCCAAAGGUAUUUGUCACGUGAAAGGUUGCCAUAAAGAGAAUUCCUCCUCCCCGUCCAUUAGGAUGCCAAAGGUAUUUGUUACGUGAAAGGUUGCCAUUAAGAGAAUUCCUCCCCCCGUCCAUUAGGAUGCCAAAGGUAUUUGUUACGUGAAAGGUUGCCAUAAAGUGAAUUCCUCCCCCGUCCAUUAGGAUGCCUAAGGUAUUUGUUACGUGAAAGGUUGCCAUAAAGAGAAUUCCUCCCCCCCCCCCCCCCACCGUCCAUUAGGAUGCCAAAGGUAUUUGUUACGUGAAAGGUUGCCAUAAAGUGAAUUCCUCCCCCGUCCAUUAGGAUGCCUAAGGUAUUUGUUACGUGAAAGGUUGCCAUAAAGAGAAUUCCUCCUCCCCGUCCAUUAGGAUGCCAAAGGUAUUUGUUACGUGAAAGGUUGCCAUUAAGAGAAUUCCUCCCCCCGUCCACCAUUAGGAUGCCAAAGGUAUUUGUUACGUGAAAGGUUGCCAUAAAGUGAAUUCCUCCCCCGUCCAUUAGGAUGCCUAAGGUAUUUGUUACGUGAAAGGUUGCCAUAAAGAGAAUUCUUCCCCCCCCCCCCCCCACCGGCCAUUAGGAUGCCAAAGGUAUUUGUUAUGUGAAAGGUUGCCAUAAAGAGAAUUCCUCCCCCCGUCCAUUAGGAUGCCAAAGGUAUUUGUCACGUGAAAGGUUGCCAUAAAGAGAAUUCCUCCCCCCCUCCAUAAGGAUGCCAAUGGUAUUUGUUACGUGAAAGGUUGC